AGAAUCGUACACAAUAGAAUGUAGUUCGACGUGGAGACUGGCAUUCAUGGGUGAAACUCGUACUAACUCAAACUUGCACUACAAUUCGAUACGAAAAAUACAGUUGCAGCAGACAACUCAAAAAUAGAGUGAAAAACAAACAUGUUUCUCGAGCGCAAUCAACAUUUAGUACAAAAGGCCACCUUCGCCAUGAAAAUUCCAUUCCGAUCCUACCAUCGAUUUCGCAGGCACUCUCUCAGUCGUACGUGUAAAGUUAAUAAGUUUAGACGCUGUGUACGAGGCAGGAAUACCGACAUCACAUUCGAGCCAAGCGAUUCUGGUCCUUAGGAUGGAUGAAAAGAGAGGGAGAGGGAUAUUGGACAGGGUCGACCACGGCGAAAUGACAUUCAAUUCACUACGUCAUUGCACAUCUCCUCAAAGGGAGAUAGAUAUAUUAAUCAGUAGCAACUGAACCAAAGAGCAAGAGUAUUAAGUAAGCAAGAGAGAUUUGUCAGGAUCAUGGCUAGUGUAGUCCUUUUUUAUACAAUUUUGGAGAGAAUAAUUCCUUUUUGAUGAUUACAACAACAAUUUAUCUAGUUUUAUUUUAAAAGAAAUAAUUUUAAUGUGAUUUUGUGUUAUCUAUUUUUAGUUGCAGCUAAUAAAAUAUCAUUUAAUAACAGUAA